AUAGGCGCACAACGGCUUCCUGGCGUGCGCUGUUAUCAGAUAAUGGAGCA
rnacentral:ncRNA from 1 species